GGUCGAAUAGCUCAGUUGGUAGAGUAUAGACUGCAAAUUCUUGUGUCACCAGUUCAACUCUGGCUGGCAUUU